UUCUUUUCUAUCCUUCUCUCAUCUCUUCCCCUCUUCUCUUUUCUUUCUCCUCUUAAUUCUCAUCUUAUCUUUUUGCCGAACCUAAAUCCUUCAUAUUCUUCUUCUUUUCUUUCUUAAAUCCUCAACAAACUGGUUAGCCGAAUUUCCAUUGAAGCCAAACCUCGUAUCUUUUCUUUCAAAACUGAAAUCUUACUACUUUGAGGUACUACAAAGGCCGAACCCUUGGUUGAGUAUUUUUCCUUUCUUGUGCGGUAGUUGGAUCUACAAUCGAUUGGGAGUAGUGUCAUAACAAUAUAGUGUGGAUUAAAGGCUACUAAUCGAAGGCUUGGAUAUUUGGAACGACCAGAAUUAGAUCUAGUCCAUUUUUUCGGCAAAGGCAGUUCGUGUGUGGAACUCGUCAGUGUUUCGUCACAAACAGGUGAGCCUUAGAUCGAUGGACUUGGAGCUGGGCGGGAUUCAGAGUGGCCACGAAGAUUAAGUUUCUGUUUUCUUUAAAAUAAGUUUCGCAUUUAUUAUUUUGAUCAUUUUUAUUCUGGUUUAAGUUGUAAUAAGGCCGUUCUUUUUAUUAUUUUUAAUAUUUUGGGUUAUUAAA